AUUGAACGCUGGCGGCAGGCCUAACACAUGCAAGUCGAGCGGGAACUUCGGUUCUAGCGGCGGACGGGUGAGUAAUGCGUAGGAAGCUACCCGACAGAGGGGGAUACCAGUUGGAAACGACUGUUAAUACCGCAUAAUGUCUACGGACCAAAGUGUGGGACCUUCAGGCCACAUGCUGUCGGAUGCGCCUACGUGGGAUUAGCUAGUUGGUGAGGUAAUGGCUCACCAAGGCGACGAUCCCUAGCUGGUUUGAGAGGACGACCAGCCACACUGGGACUGAGACACGGCCCAGACUCCUACGGGAGGCAGCAGUGGGGAAUAUUGGACAAUGGGCGCAAGCCUGAUCCAGCAAUGCCGCGUGUGUGAAGAAGGCCUGCGGGUUGUAAAGCACUUUCAGUGGGGAAGAAGGCAUACGUAUUAAUACUAUGUAUGAUUGACAUUACCUACAGAAGAAGCACCGGCUAACUCUGUGCCAGCCGCCGCAGUAACAC
rnacentral:rRNA from 1 species